rnacentral:rRNA from 1 species
UACGUAGGGAGCAAGCGUUGUCCGGAAUCAUUGGGCGUAAAGCGCGCGUAGGCGGCCCCGUAAGUCCGCUGUGAAAGUCAAAGGCUCAACCUUUGAAAGCCGGUGGAUACUGUGGGGCUAGAGUCCGGAAGAGGCGAGUGGAAUUCCUGGUGUAGCGGUGGAAUGCGCAGAUAUCAGGAGGAACACCAAUCGCGAAGGCAGCUCGCUGGGACGGUACUGACGCUAAGGCGCGAAAGCGUGGGGAGCGAACAGG